CCAUCACAAAUAGCAUUAUUCAUGAAUUAUCACUAAAUCAAAAAAAUAGUAAUGCACUCGGAAUACGAAAUCAAUAGACAUCAUCAAUAGCCAAUAAAAACUACCACUCCUAAACCCACAAUUACAUUCACAUAAUGUAUCCUUGCUAAAGGUUUACCAAAACCAUCAAGUAAAUUGCCAACUCACAAGAGCCACUCUUUACCAAAAAACUGCACAAACAAGACUAAAGUUGUAUUUUACAUGAAAAGGGUCCACACCAAGUCUAUAUUUUAGUACAAUCACAAACCAUUCAUUCAAAUUUCCCUAGGUUGCUUUUAGAAAGAACCCACUCCCUAGUCUCAAACUUAUUUCCACCAUUAAAAGCAAACAAAAUUCAAUAUUAGCCCAACAACAUUAACACUCUUUAGAUACUUGAACAAAAUAUUUCUAGGAAAAUAAGGUCUCUCAAGCACAGAUUCUUGUCUGAAAUCAAGAGAAUGAAAAGAUUUAUAUGUUUAAGCAAUUUCUUGACCAGUGCUAUCACAUCCCGUCACUUGGGUGAAACCUAAUUAACUAAAUCUCCAAAAGACGAUUCUUAACAAUAUCUUUUAGCCUAGAACUCGACCAGGGAAAGAAUCCCACCAAAAUCUACACUUUUUACAGUUGAUAGUCCUUUUCACCUAAGUCCUUGAUCAAUUUUCUUCCUACCUGAUGUUUUUCUCCAAAAGUAAAAGCUGCAAUGUUGUUUUUCUUCAGUACCUAUAUUCAAAAGACAGAAAUACAUGAAAAGUCGGGAAAUAUUAUGAAAGGCACAAUUAUAACCUAAAGGGAAAAAGUAAGAAUUAUGUCAAAGCAAAUUCUAAAAUGACAGGAAAAGGUCAUAAGUGCGCGAAAUCAGAUAAAACAUUGACACUAAUUUAACCAUGAGUUACAGCUUAUUUUACAUAGCCUUUUCGAAGUUUAAGGACAUAGUGUAAUCUGUCUUCUUUUCGACCUUGACUAUCUGCUGAUAUCACUCUUCUCUACUGAAGUUGGUUAGGAGGAAAUUGACAAGAAUCAAAUAGUACCGGCCAGUAUUAAAGAAGAAAGUGAAUGCCAUUUUGUCCAAGAAUCAUGGUUCCAAGUCCUAAUCUACUUACCUAAAUGAUUAAUAUGCCUCUUUCUCUACUAAAGAAUCAGUGUCUUAGGCCAGACAACAUGGAAGCUUUUCUUUCCCUGCAUCACCUAAUUUUUC
rnacentral:lncRNA from 1 species